rnacentral:rRNA from 1 species
UACAGAGGUCCCAAGCGUUGUUCGGAUUCACUGGGCGUAAAGGGUGCGUAGGUGGUCGGGUAAGUCCGAUGUGAAAUCUCCAAGCUCAACUUGGAAACUGCAUCGGAUACUAUUCGGCUGGAGGGUUGGAGGGGGGACUGGAAUGCUUGGUGUAGCAGUGAAAUGCGUAGAUAUCAAGCGGAACACCAGUGGCGAAGGCGAGUCCCUGGACAACUCCUGACACUGAGGCACGAAAGCUAGGGGAGCAAACAGG